UUGAACGCUGGCGGCAGGCCUAACCCCUGCCAGUCGAGCGGAUGAAGGGAGCUUGCUCCUGGAUUCAGCGGCGGACGGGUGAGUAAUGCCUAGGAAUCUGCCUGGUAGUGGGGGAUAACGUCCGGAAACGGGCGCUAAUACCGCAUACGUCCUGAGGGAGAAAGUGGGGGAUCUUCGGACCUCACGCUAUCAGAUGAGCCUAGGUCGGAUUAGCUAGUUGGUGGGGUAAAGGCCUACCAAGGCGACGAUCCGUAACUGGUCUGAGAGGAUGAUCAGUCACACUGGAACUGAGACACGGUCCAGACUCCUACGGGAGGCAGCAGUGGGGAAUAUUGGACAAAGGGCGAAAGCCUGAUCCAGCCAUGCCGCGUGUGUGAAGAAGGUCUUCGGAUUGUAAAGCACUUUAAGUUGGGAGGAAGGGCAGUAAGUUAAUACCUUGCUGUUUUGACGUUACCAACAGAAUAAGCACCGGCUAACUUCGUG
rnacentral:rRNA from 1 species